CAGGUCUGCUUUGCCUGUGAGCUACUGUGAUAGUUUGAUUUUUAUGAUUUACAUCAAGUGUGAAGCUUUCAAAGCCAUGUGUCAAAGGUCAAGUGAGUGGCUCAGCAGUGUGUGACACUACAAAAACUACAAAAAACCGCAGUGGAGGUCAGCAGUCUCAGGAGGACCAUCUGCUGCUUUCCUUGUAGACAGAGGGACUUACCACCUUGGAUUAAUGAUUGAUGAAACAGAUGAAACCCAACCCCAUCGAAGCAAGCUGUGAACAUCUUCCAAGCUCCAUGAGAUGCCUGUGCUGCCCUACAUGUUUUAACCAGAAGAGCCAUAAGCAAACUGUGCAGUGGCCUUGGACCCUGUGGACAAACCCAAGGUGCUACAAGACCCUUCUGGUAACAGAACUCCAACGACCUCUGGACCCCACAACCACAGAAAAUACCUGUCAGAAGGAGGAGAGGAUGUCUGGGAUAUGCAGCCAUGCUGAUGAAGCUCCAGACAGCCUGGAGACAAGAGGAGACAUGGCAGUGAAGCAGGGUAUGGUUGCUGUGCUCAAGGAGCUCCAAGAGGCUCUGCAGCUAAUGCUGCCAGAGGACACAUGGUGAUAGGAAAGGAAAGCACAGUGACAGCACUCUGCAGGCCUUAUGUCAUACAUCAGUGCAGAAACGCCACCAAGAUGAGCUGUGGGCCUCAUCACACUUAGCAAAAAUGUAAAAACUGAUUUAGUAGAAUUCUUUUAUGUAGGUCUUUCUCAGCAGUCAUAUUAAUCUUGCACAAAAGCCCUAUAGAGGUAAGCAUUCCCACUAUUGACUGCUAGAAUAAAGACACUUAGAAUUUUAGUUUCCAGACUUAUGAAGUGCAAGUUUUAUUCCAAUAGUUAAAUUGUGAAAUACUCAGAAGAUUUAGGAAACUCUAACAGGAGCAAGCACUGUACAUUUUGUCCAUUUUUAGGAGAAAAUUUUUUUUCCUGUUUUUCCUAGAAUAAAGCUUUGUUUUAUACUGAUACAGACAUUGUUUCUGUGUGAUGAGGAACUUGCAUCUCUGAAUAAGGAGUGCAGAUGUCUGGGUAAAGUUUCUGAAACACCAUCAAUAGCUGUGUUAAAACCCAUGGAUUGGAAAAGUAAGCAAUUGACUGAUAAAAUUUGUUGAACUAGUGUUGUGCCUAUGAUCUUGAUGAUAUGUGGCAUAAAUUAUGCUGAAGACUAAUGUAUCCUGCAAGACAGCUGCAUUUUUUAAUGCUUCUUGGAGACUACCUGUUCAGCUUGCCUGACUGGUCUGUGUCGUGCCCUUCCCAGAAGCUGAAUAUCCCAAACUGGGGACAAAACCUGGUCACUGAAGUUCAGUAAUUGUUGAGCUGGGGUAUGAGAACCAAUCUGAUGCAUUCUGGUCUUCUCUAACCACAUUUUUCUA